rnacentral:rRNA from 1 species
GUGCCAGCAGCCGCGGUAAUACAGAGGUCUCAAGCGUUGUUCGGAUUUAUUGGGCGUAAAGGGUGCGCAGGCUGUGUGGUAAGUUUGGUGUGAAAUCCUGGGGCUCAACCCCAGAAUUGCACUGAAUACUGCCAUGCUAGAGGACUGGAGAGGAGAUUGGAAUUCACGGUGUAGCAGUGAAAUGCGUAGAUAUCGUGAGGAAGACCAGUGGCGAAGGCGAAUCUCUGGACAGUUCCUGACGCUCAUGCACGAAGGCUAGGGGAGCAAACGGGAUUAGAUACCCCUGUAGUCC